rnacentral:tRNA from 1 species
CCUUCGAUAGCUCAGUUGGUAGAGCGGUGGACUGUAGUUGGUUCGAUGAUAUUCAUCUCAAGAGAAAUCCAUAGGUCGCUGGUUCAAAUCCGGCUCGAAGGA